rnacentral:rRNA from 1 species
CGGCACCGUGCGUCCAUCCCAUCCCAACCCAUCCGAACAGUUGGGCGGGAGGGUGGACUACGAUACGAACCCCCGGCGCAAUGGGCGCCAAGGAACACAAACCUCGGGGGCAGCACACGAAGGGCCCAACGUGGCCUUCCGAGCGCCCCUGACGAUGCAUUAGCAUAACACUGAACGACUCUCGGCAACGGAUAUCUCGGCUCUCGCAUCGAUGAAGAACGUAGCGAAAUGUGAUAUUUGGUGUGAAUUGCAGAAUCCCGUGAACCAUCGAGUCUUUGAACGCAAGUUGCGCCCGAGGCCUUGUGGCCGAGGGCACGCCUGCCUGGGCGUCACGCCAUCGACGCUCCAAGCCCGCCCGCCCCCCCGGGAGAGCGUGGCCAUGGACGCGGAAGCUGGCCCCCCGCGCCCUUGGGUGCGGCCGGCCUAAGACCCGGCUGCCGGGUCCCCGUGGGACACGAUUGGUGGUGGAUUGCCCU